rnacentral:rRNA from 1 species
UACGUGGGGGGCAAGCGUUGUUCGGAAUUACUGGGCGUAAAGGGCUCGUAGGUGGCCAACUAAGUCAGACGUGAAAUCCCUCAGCUUAACUGGGGAACUGCGUCUGAUACUGGAUGGCUUGAGUUUGGGAGAGGGAUGCGGAAUUCCAGGUGUAGCGGUGAAAUGCGUAGAUAUCUGGAGGAACACCGGUGGCGAAGGCGGCUACCUGGCCCAACAUUGACGCUGAGACCCGAAAGCAUGGGGAUCAAACAGG